CACGCCCUGUGUGUGUGUGUGUGUGUGUGUGUGUGUGUGUGUGUGUGUGUGUGUGUGUGUGUGUGUGUGUGUGUGUGUGUGUGUGUGUGUGUGUGUGUGUGUGUGUGUGUGUGUGUGUGUGUGUGUGUGUGUGUGUGUGUGUGUGUGAUGGCCUCUCUGCCCCUGGUGGUGGUGCUGUCACCUACAGCUGCCCCUCUGCCCCCGGUGGUGGGGCUGUGAACUACAUAGACUAGCUAGAGACUGGCCUCCCUCUGAUACUCAGCCUAAAUAUGUGAUAACAUUAUCUGCCUUGCUAGCCGCACCCCCUGGGGUCCUGGCCCAGGCUGACUAGGUCCUCAGGGGUCCUGACCCAGGCUGACUGGACCCCUGGGGUCCUGGCCCAGGCUGACUAGGUCCUCAGGGGGAGGUUUUAUAAUAUAAUGAGCGUAUAUAUAUGAAUGGAACAUUGGAGUGAAGGGGUUAAAGGGGACACUGCAGCAUUGGUCUCGGGGAGAGGUUCACUUAACUGACCUUCUAGUACAUUUGGUCGCACUCCAAUAUUUAAUUUGUUACUAAGGAGUAUUAAAGUUUCAAAUGAUGUGUUUGGGCCGGCUAGCUACCAGUUAGUCAGAAUAAGAGAAACGUAUCUGUUCAUCCAGUACCUCAACCCUAUUGGUGCUCGAAGGGAUCUUCCAACGAUCUGAUUGAUCAGCUCCCUUUCCUGACAUCCCUAACAAUCCCAUUGGCUUGGAGGCUGACGCUCCGCUCUUUGCUGCAACCCCCCUCCCAACCAGCUUCUCUCCCUAUACUGUCUUGUAGUACUCUUACUGUAGUGGUACUCUACUCUACCCUGCUGUUACUCUACCCUACUUUACUUGUACUAUACCCUACUGUACUGGUACUAUACUCUACUGUACUGGUACUAUACUCUACCCUACUGUACUGGUACUAUUCUCUACUGUACUGGUAGUCUACCCUACUGUACUGGUACUAUACUCUUCUGUACCGGUACUAUACUCUACUCUACUGGUACUAUACUCUACCCUACUGUACUGGUACUAUACUGUACUGGUACUCUACUGGUACUCUACCCUACUGUACUGGUAAUAUACUCUACUUGUACUAUACUCUACUCUACUGUACUGGUACUAUACUCUACUGUACUGGUGCUCUACCCUACUGUACUGGUACUAUAAUCUACUGUACUGGUACUAUUCUCUACCCUACUGUACUAUACUCUUCACUACUGUAAUGGUACUCUAGCCUACUGUACUGAUACUAUACUCUACUCUACUGCUCCUGUAUUCUGCUCUGCUACUCUAGUCUACUCUUACUGUAUGCUAUACGUCUGUACUAUGACUAUAUUCUACUCUGCAUUCUACUGUACUAUGUCUAUAUUCUACUCUGCAUUCUACUGUACUAUAUAUUCUAUGCUGUUGACCUUUUGUCUAUGCUUCCCCUCAUCCAGAAGUGUGUGUUGCGUGUUGUGUGAUGUGGGCGUGGCUCUGGGAUGUGGGUGUGACUCUGCAGUGUGGGCGUGUCCUGACUAGGGAUGGGAACUGAUGAGAUGUUCUUGAUGCCUUUAUGAGUUCUGUUCCUCGCUGCGGUCCUCCUCCCCUGAGCCGUUCUGUUGUUUCUGUUCUCUGAGCCUGCUGCAGGAAGCAGGUUAGAGUGAGGGUUAGCUCGCCUUAAAUUGAGGAAAUUAGAGUUUCUAUUGGUUUCACUUGAGGUUUUCCUGGUGGACAAGAGGGAUUCAAUAAAUUCUAGCAGAUGAGUAAGUCCCUGGAUGUCAUGUCAGCAGUCUUCCUGAGGACUCAUUUUGUGGCCAUUUUUGAAAUGUGAUAGUUCCUCUUGUAUACACAAACUGAAAGUC